rnacentral:rRNA from 1 species
GACAGAGGUGCCGAGCGUUAGGCGGAAUCACUGGGCUUAAAGCGUGUGUAGGCGGAUGCCUAAGUACCUUGUGAAAUCCCACGGCUUAACCGUGGAACUGCUCGGUAUACUGGGUAUCUUGAGCCACUUAGGGGCGACCGGAACAAACGGUGGAGCGGUGAAAUGCGUAGAUAUCGUUUGGAACGCCAAUGGUGAAAACAGGUCGCUGGGAGUGUGCUGACGCUGAGACACGAAAGCCAGAGGAGCGAACGGG